GCUGAUAACGUGGCUCUUUCAUGAAAUUGAGCUAUGACAGUUCAAUAACAGAAUGGGUUUUUGAGUCUGUAAAUAUGGAAAACUUGCUCGGAUGGUUGACAGAUUAUUGACAGAGACAAACGAUGUCGCAAUUGACGAUUGAACCAAACUGAACCAUCCCAUUUCAAAGGGCGCCAUCGGUUACUUUCCACAUACGUACAUGUGUACCAUCCUAUCGUGUGCCUUCUCCUAUCGUUAGAUAGGAAUCGUUGUUAUCACAGAUGAAGAACCACAAAAAGAGCCAUUUAGAAAAAAAUUAUGAAUUGUUCAAGAUAUUAUUAGAGUUGGGAUUACUUCAUUGUGGGCGUUCAAACCAUUUCUGCCUUCUCUAAAUUUAUCACACGUUCGACAGGAAGUCACAAGUAAUGAAGAAGCACUUGAUAACAAUAUUACUUAUUGUAGGGAUAUCUAGUUCCUGCUUUCGUCUUUAUGGAGGAGCCAUGACGAUUAAUGGAAUACACCUUGCAAAAAGCACGUUGGAAGAUUACGUGAUACAAUGCUGGCAAGACUUUAUUGAUCUAAUGGACAAUGGAGUUCCCGGUCUGAACAUCCCGACUUUCGACCCAUGGUUUGCCAAUAACAGCUUCCCAUUCCGCAUGCAAGAUGGCGAAAUCGUUCUCCGGGCAGAUGUCAAUGCGACGAACGUUACAUCGCUCGGCUUUUCUUCGGUGCAGGUACCGGCGGUAUAUGAGACAUCCGAGUCGCACUACAAUGUGUCUUUGUCGCUUCCUGAUUUGAAAAUAAGCGGACUUUACACCAUUAUUGGCAGUCAUCACUAUUUCUAUCCUAUUGUCGGAAAUGGACCAUUUGACAUGACUUUGCUGGAUGUUUCGUCAAGCGGGACGACGGCUGUCCUUUUCGACGGUAUGGUGUAUAGUUUAACCAAAUCUACAGUUGACGCCUCUGAAAUACGGUUCUGCAACUUCAGAAUUCUACGGUCUUUCCAUUUCCGACAUGGAUAGUACAUCCGAAACUUACAUUGAAAUCGUUGCAUAUGAUGACCGAGCUUUUGUGGUCCCAUGUUGAAAAGGAGCUUCGGCUGCAGUUAAGCGAUUCGAUUACUCAAUACCUGAAUGACCAGCUCUUGGAUUUCCAACCUAGCAGUAUGCAUCGCCAGCCCUGAAUAAAUUUGACCUGGCACUUCAUUUUUACAGCGUAAAAUUCUACUUGAAAUUUCUUCAAAUUAGCUUCUUUAGGGGGAUUGUUCUUCAUGGUAAAACUCCAUCAUGUAACAGGAUGCAUAGAAACCUAAUAAAACAGGGAAAACCACACGAAAAA